UGUUUGGGAAUGCAGCUCAAAAUGGGUGGUAAAUUUCAUCUAAAGCUAAAUAUUGGCCAGAGACCGAUAGCGCACAAGUAGAGUGAUCGAAAGAUGAAAAGCACUUUGGAAAGAGAGUUAAACAGUACGUGAAAUUGUUGAAAGGGAAGCGCUUGCAACCAGACUUGCGCGCUGAUGAUCAUCCGGGCUUCUGCCCGGUGCACUCGUCUGCGCUCAGGCCAGCAUCGGUUUCGGUGGUGGGAUAAAGGCCUUGGGAAUGUAGCUCCUCUCGGGGAGUGUUAUAGCCCUCGGUGCAAUGCCGCCUACCGGGACCGAGGACCGCGCUUCGGCUAGGAUGCUGGCGUAAUGGUUGUAAGCGACCCGUCUUGAAACACGGACC
rnacentral:rRNA from 1 species